CGUGCCAGCAGCCGCGGUAAUACGAAGGGGGCUAGCGUUGCUCGGAAUCACUGGGCGUAAAGGGCGCGUAGGCGGCGUUUUAAGUCGGGGGUGAAAGCCUGUGGCUCAACCACAGAAUGGCCUUCGAUACUGGGACGCUUGAGUAUGGUAGAGGUUGGUGGAGCUGCGAGUGUAGAGGUGAAAUUCGUAGAUAUUCGCAAGAACACCGGUGGCGAAGGCGGCCAACUGGACCAUCACUGACGCUGAGGCGCGAAAGCGUGGGGAGCAAACAGGAUUAGAUACCCUGGUAGUCCACGCCGUAAACGAUGA
rnacentral:rRNA from 1 species